rnacentral:piRNA from 1 species
UACACUAGCAAGAUUUUAUCGA